rnacentral:tRNA from 1 species
UGGAAUUUAGCUCAGUUGGUAGAGCCGAGGACGGUAAACCCUCGUGAAAAUUCGGUUCGAGUCCGUAAACGUGAGGUCACGCUUAGCGCAGGUUCAAGUCCUGCAGUUCCAA